GACGAACGCUGGCGGCGUGCUUAACACAUGCAAGUCGAACGGAAAGGCCCUGCUUUUGUGGGGUGCUCGAGUGGCGAACGGGUGAGUAACGCGUGAGUAACCUGCCCUUGACUUUGGGAUAACUUCAGGAAACUGGGGCUAAUACCGGAUAGGAGCUCCUGCUGCAUGGUGGGGGUUGGAAAGUUUCGGCGGUUGGGGAUGGACUCGCGGCUUAUCAGCUUGUUGGUGGGGUAGUGGCUUACCAAGGCUUAGACGGGUAGCCGGCCUGAGAGGGUGACCGGCCACAUUGGGACUGAGAUACGGCCCAGACUCCUACGGGAGGCAGCAGUGGGGAAUAUUGCACAAUGGGCGGAAGCCUGAUGCAGCAACGCCGCGUGCGGGAUGACGGCCUUCGGGUUGUAAACCGCUUUCGCCUGUGACGAAGCGUGAGUGACGGUAAUGGGUAAAGAAGCACCGGCUAACUACGUG
rnacentral:rRNA from 1 species